rnacentral:rRNA from 1 species
GCUUGUCUCAAAGAUUAAGCCAUGCAUGUCUAAGUAUAAACAAAUUUAUACUGUGAAACUGCGUACAGCUCAUUAAAUCAGUCAUUAUUUAUUUGAUGGUUUCUUACUACAUGGAUACCCGUAGUAAUUCUAGAGCUAAUACAUGCAAAAAAUCCCGACGCAAGAAGGGAUGUAUUUAUUAGAUAAAAAACCAAUGCACCUCUGGUGGAUUCUGGUGAUUCAUGAUAACUGAUCGAAUCGGAUGGCCUUGUGCUGCCGAUAGUUCAUUCAAAUUUCUGCCCUAUCAGCUUUCGACGGUAGUGUAGUGGACUACCGUGGCAUUAACGGGUGACGGAGAAUUAGGGUUCGAUUCCGGAGAGGGAGCCUGAGAAAUGGCUACCACAUCCAAGGAAGGCAGCAGG